rnacentral:rRNA from 1 species
AAUGAACGUUGGCGGCGUGGAUUAGGCAUGCAAGUCGCGCGAGAAACGUAGCAAUACGUGGAAAGCGGCGUAAGGGAGAGUAAUCCAUAGUUAGCUACCCUCGGGACUGGGAUAGCGGCGGGAAACUGCCGGUAAUACCAGAUGACAUCUUCGGAUCAAACGGGUAAAUCGGCCCGGGGAGGUGAUCAGGUCCUAUCAGCUAGUUGGCGGUGUAACGGACCACCAAGGCUAAGACGGGUAUGGGGCGUGAGAGCGUGCCCCCACUCACUGGGACUGAGACACUGCCCAGACACCUACGGGUGGCUGCAGUCGAGAAUCUUCGGCAAUGGACGCAAGUCUGACCGAGCGACGCCGCGUGCGGGAUGAAGGCCUUCGGGUUGUAAACCGCUGUCGUAGGGGAUGAAAGGUAGGAGGGUACACUCGCCUACUCUGACUGAACCUAGGAGGAAGGGCCGGCUAAUCUCGUGCCAGCAGCCGCCGUAACAC